AUGGCUGAACUAAUGGCGAAGCCAAGGGUGAUGCGGCGCGUGCAGUCCGAGGCAGAUUGUGCUCUCGCAGGACAGGCUACAGUACAAGAGGCCGCACUAAAGAUCAUGCAAUACCUCAGGGCAGUUAUUAAAGAGACCUUGCGACUACACCCUCCUGCCGUGCUCUUCCCUAGAAUGUGUGUGGGAGACUGCAAGAUUCAAGGAUAUGAUGUACCACGAGGGAUAACUGUGCUUACCAACACAUGGGCAAUCUCUAGGGACCCCAAGUAUUGGGAUGAGCCGGACAAGUUCAUGCCAGAGAGGUUCGAAGGCGAGGGUGUUGCCGACUUGAGAGGCAUGGACUUCGAGUUCACUCCUUUCGGUGUUGGGCGGCGGAUUUGCCCUGGGAUUGAUUUUGCGUAUGCAAACCUUGAGAUUGCUUUGGCUAGCCUUCUUUACCAUUUUAACUGGGAGCUACCUCUGGGAGUUGAACCAGGGCAAGUAGACAUGACAGAGGAGUUCGGAGUCACUGCUCGAAGGAAGGUCAAGCUAUUUGUGCGUCCCAUUAUUCGUGUUCCCCUUAGAUGA
rnacentral:rRNA from 1 species